AUCCAAAAUGACGAGUCCCAAAUAGGACGAAAUGCACAUCCUGGAU
rnacentral:hammerhead_ribozyme from 1 species